GAUGAACGCUGGCGGCGUGCCUAAUACAUGCAAGUCGAGCGAAGCGGGGACGGGCGAGUAACACGUGGAUAACCUCCUAUAAGACUGGGAUAACUUCGGCAAACCGGAGCUAAACCCGACACUUAUAGAUGGAUCCGCGCUGCAUUAGCUAGUUGGUAAGGUAACGGCUUACAAGGGCAACGAUGCAUAGCGGACCUGAGCGGUGGAUCGGCCACACUGGAACUGAGACACGGUCCAGACUCCUACGGGAGGAAGCAGUGGGGAAUCUUGCGAAAUGGGCGAAAGCCUGACGGAGCAACGCCGCGUGGGUGAGGAAGGGCUUCGGGUCGUAAAAUUCUGUUAGUAGGGAAGCGGUACCUAAUCAGAAAGCCACGGCUAACUACGUGCCAGCAGCCGCGGUAAUUC
rnacentral:rRNA from 1 species